rnacentral:rRNA from 1 species
AGAGUUUGAUCCUGGCUCAGGAUGAACGCUGGCGGCGUGCCUAAUACAUGCAAGUCGAGCGAACAGACGAGGAGCUUGCUCCUCUGACGUUAGCGGCGGACGGGUGAGUAACACGUGGAUAACCUACCUAUAAGACUGGGAUAACUUCGGGAAACCGGAGCUAAUACCGGAUAAUAUAUUGAACCGCAUGGUUCAAUAGUGAAAGACGGUUUUGCUGUCACUUAUAGAUGGAUCCGCGCCGCAUUAGCUAGUUGGUAAGGUAACGGCUUACCAAGGCAACGAUGCGUAGCCGACCUGAGAGGGUGAUCGGCCACACUGGAACUGAGACACGGUCCAGACUCCUACGGGAGGCAGCAGUAGGGAAUCUUCCGCAAUGGGCAAAAGCCUGACGGAGCAACGCCGCGUGAGUGAUGAAGGUCUUCGGAUCGUAAAACUCUGUUAUUAGGGAAGAACAAAUGUGUAAGUAACUAUGCACGUCUUGACGGUACCUAAUCAGAAAGCCACGGCUAACUACGUGCCAGCAGCCGCGGUAAUACGUAGGUGGCAAGCGUUAUCCGGAAUUAUUGGGCGUAAAGCGCGCGUAGGCGGUUUUUUAAGUCUGAUGUGAAAGCCCACGGCUCAACCGUGGAGGGUCAUUGGAAACUGGAAAACUUGAGUGCAGAAGAGGAAAGUGGAAUUCCAUGUGUAGCGGUGAAAUGCGCAGAGAUAUGGAGGAACACCAGUGGCGAAGGCGACUUUCUGGUCUGUAACUGACGCUGAUGUGCGAAAGCGUGGGGAUCAAAUCAGGAUUAGAUACCCUGGUAGUCCACGCCGUAAAC